rnacentral:rRNA from 1 species
AGGAUCUUCACAAUGAGUGUUUUAUGGCACUCUUUAAAAAUCCAUAUCCACCUUGUGUGCAAUGUUUGUUGGGAGAGAGGCAACUCUUUCCCUUCACAAAUAUCAACCUAUAUCUUUAACAACAUUCGUCUGAUAACAUAUUAUGAAUAUACUUAAUUCAAAAUAUAACUUUCAACAACGGAUCUCUUGGCUCUCGCAUCGAUGAAGAACGCAGCGAAAUGCGAUACGUAAUGUGAAUUGCAGAAUUCAGUGAAUCAUCGAAUCUUUGAACGCAUAUUGCGCUCUUUGGUAUUCCGAAGAGCAUGCUUGUUUGAGUAUCAGUAAACACCUCAACCUCUCUUUUUGACAAAAAAAAAAGGAGGGUGGACUUGAGCUAUCCCAACGACCUUCACCGGUAGGCGGGCGGCUUGAAAUGCAGGUGCAGCUGGACUUUUAUCUGAGCUAAAAGCAUAUCUAUUUAGUCCUCGUCAAACAGGAUUAUUACUUUUGCUGCAGCUAACAUAAAGGAUAAUUGUCCUCUUUGCUGACUGAUGCAGGAUUUUACGACACUUUAUGUGUUGUUCAACUCGAUCUCAAAUCAAGUAAGACUACCCGCUGAACUUAA